GCUAAUCUAACCUGGGCAAGCCCUCAAUUGAGACUCCCUUCUCAGAUACCAGCAGAACUCAGGUACUGUCACCAAGAACAAACCUGAAGGUCGAGAGAUGAACAGAAUCCAGAGAUGGUUCAAGGCUGCUGUUACCCGUCGUCACUUCUGACUGCCCAGCAGGGCUCCGUCCUUUCCUCCUCUCCUCAGGGUUACUGAAGUUCGUACUCGAGGUCAGCAAACACUUUGCUCUGUGGUGGAAUCCGUCCCACGGCUCCAGCGUCCCCUUCCCACCUUCCCAAGCCAUCCCAGUUUAGCCAGGUGGCUUUGUCCAGCACCUCUGGAGCCCUGUCCUGAGUCUGCACCAGGCUGGGUGGAGACAGGCCACUGUGUGGAGGAUGUGCUUUCUCUUCAACCUGCCUCCCAGGAACCCUUUCAGCUUCCCUCCUGAGCACUAGGGGAGUCUGUCUUGAUAGCCACUGUCCAUCCGCCUUGAGAACACAUUGGGGGCUUCCUGGGUAUUCAGCACCGCCAUCCGUACCGCCAUCCGCACCACCAUCAGCACCGCCAUCCCCGGCUGACUGCCCUUAUGCUUGGCUGACCUUUACAGGCCAAAUGUAAAAAGUCCGCCCUGUUCUGAGUUUUCUUAGAUGGUCUGGUUUCCAUCGCUCCCCUGUAGCCUAGAUUAUGCUGAUUUUAAUGCUGCUUCUGGCUUAAAUGCCCACUCACAAAUUAUGUUGUCUGCUGCUUCUGUUAAUGAUGAUCGACCGCAUCACGCUGAAGUCUGAGCAUGCGGCCUGGAUGAUAAUGGCCUGGACGAUAAUGAGUCUGUGGCACGGCAUCAAUCAAGCAUGUGUGCUUCAAAAGGACAUGGCUCCGGGGCUGGAAAGAGGGCUGGGGCGGGGGAGGGGCACUCGGGUGGGACAAUCAUUGAAGAUGGAGGUUUGAGGCCUCAGAGCACACAUACAGCCAGACAUAGUAGCACACUCCUAAUCCCAGCAUGACUUUGGCGGGAUGGGAGAUGGAGAUGGCACAAUCCUGGAAGUGUGUGGGCAGGCUAGCCCAGUGUAUGCAGUGACAAAGACAAAUAAGACUGUCUCAAAAUGGAAAGGUGGGGCUGUUUAACGGUUUCCUUGGAGACUGAAAUAUUCCUACCUGGCAAGGAAGCACCUGAAACAGGAAGGUACACAACUCAAAAUAGCUGCAGGAAGUCCCUGAAACUGACCAGAUUCACUAGGCCCCUCCCUGACAGCAUAAGUAAGAAAAGCUCAGCUUCCUCUUCUCUGGGAGCUGCAAAGAUGGAAGCUGAGGGGAGAAGAUCUGUAAAAAGACAGAGACCAGACCAGCUGUCCGGAAGCAACAGAAACCGGCCAAGCUGCCUGGAAGAGGUUUAGGCCAGAGUCACUUGGAAAAGACACUCUCCAACCUGUUGCACUGCCUGCAGCUCCAGGCUGUGCAGUGAGCUCCAGGUUUCCCAGCUUCUGUGAGCUGUCACCCAUGCUGGGGUGGAACCUGGUGAUGCAGCUGUCAUUAAGUCAUCUCUGCUCCUGUAGGUAACCCCUUACCCACGUUCCUCUAAGUGACCCCCAAUAAAACUCACU
rnacentral:lncRNA from 1 species